rnacentral:rRNA from 1 species
GCUUAUGGCUAUACCAGAUUGAAUGUACCAGUUCUUGUCCAGUCACCAACGUUAAGCAACAUUGAGCCUAGUUGGUACUUAGAUGAGUGACCACUUGGAAAACUUAGGUGCUGUAAGCA